rnacentral:lncRNA from 1 species
GGAGGGGUGAUCCUUUGGAGAUUCAUCACUGCUGACUUGGAAGAGAGUGAGUCCAAGCCAGGAGUGGAUAACCUUGAUAUAGUGACGAUGGAAACUAAUGAGGCGAGUGAAGCUUGAAUGCCAGCAAGAGACAGCAGAUUCAAGGUCAAGGGUGGCCUGUCGGUGAAGAUCAGAUGUGGACUCUGUGGUGGCAGAAUAGUUGACAAGUCCACGGACUUGUUGGACUAUGAGAUUUUGUAUCUCAUGGAAAUGAUUCAUAGAUCUCCACAUGUUCAAGCAUCUGCACUAAUAAAAAUUGCUAGAAUCAACUAUCAAGACAAGUAAAUAACUAAAUAUCAUAAUGUCAGUAUAUGGUGUUAGACCAAGCAUGUCCAGAGAAUAAGAUAAAACAAGUACCUGUAGCAUAGUUCAACAAGUUGUGGAGCAAGCUCAUUGUCUAUGACUUCAAUUAUGGCCGAUGAAGUUGCUGAAACAGCCUGAGAAGUAACCAUUAUCAGAGAAUGCAGUUUCUGUAUCAAUGUUUUGAUCUUUUGCAGCUUCAUGGCAUCCAUGCCCUUGUAUUCCAGAUUUUGCAAUGUAGAUAAUUUCUUUUUGUGCUCAAUCUUUACCCUCUCUCUAGCCUACAACGAAAUAGUAUUUAGAAGAAAUUAUAAUAUGAAUAGCAUCUGUUAAAUACAAAAACAAUUCUUUUUAACAGACUACAAUUUAUCAAAUUGCAUGAAAUCAUAGGUUUCCCUCCUAAGCCUCUCCCCCUCACCUACUUGGUUGUCCCAAUCUCAGGUAGAAGGAAGAGAUUAAAGCAGUGUGUUGGUCUAAUUCAGCCAAUGGAAAAGACUCAGGCUAGAUAGAAAUGUAAGUGUCUAUCCUAUGUGGGAAGAAUUCAGUUAGUGAACUGGGUCUUUAAUCUUUACAAGUAUGUUCACGUAUUGGAUAAACGGAACCUCCCCUAAUUAUCACUAAUGUCAAGAAAAUUGCAUAUAGGUUCAUUUGGGAUGGUAAGAAAUCCUCCCCUUGGGAUAGAAUGAUCCUACCCAAAAUAGUAGGGGGAUUAGGGGUCAGGAACAUUGAAGCCUCUGCUUACCUCCAACAUAAACAGAGCUCACUACUUCUAGUCCAACAGUGAAUCUAUCCUAUCCCUUUAGAUUAGAGAUAGAUAUAUCAAGGGUGGGAGUCUGGGGGAUAUCCAAGUCUCCCCUUCUAGGAAUUCCAUUGUGUGAAAAAACAUCCUUAAAGUGCAAAACUGACAUUGAUAGGUUAAUGGGUUGUGGUAGUAAUUUCAACUUAAUUCUCAUUGGGUUGAAAGGGGGUAGCUCCUUACAAAGGUUUUGUGAAGCACUAGCAACCCCUAGGCAACCUGACCCUAUAGCAAAGGUGUCUGGUCCAAAAAGCUCACCAAAUACUCAGUUUUCCUAUGGAGGCUGAGGUAGGGACACCUUUUAUCCUUCACCACCCUCAGAUUAUGGGGAGUUCCUACUGUGGAUUCGCAUUUUUGGAAAGCUUUUGUUUCAGAAAGAAGCCUAGUGGAUAAAUAUUUGGAUUGUAGGGUCAAUAGUACGAUUGUGUGGAGAUCUGAUACUCCGAUAAAUAAAUUGGAGAGAAUAGUGGAAAGUAUUAGAAAUAAAAAGCAUAAAGACAUGUUAGCUGAGGGAAUUUGGUCGAAGAUGCCGACAAAAUUCUCUAUUCUGUUGUGGAGGGUGAAAUGGGAUCACCUAAACACGUUCAAGAAGCUGAGAAGUUGGAGAGUACAAGUGUCUUUUGUUUGCUUGUUGUGCAAUAUGGAAGAUGAAACUAGAAGUCAUAUUUUCUUUAACUGUUCUUAUUCUAGAUCUCUAUUAAUUCCGUUGCCGGAACACCUGGAUUCCGCUUUCUGGAAAAUAAUGAGCAUUCAAGUCCCUACUCAAUCCAAUCCAGAUAUUAGAUUAGGGGAUUUAACGGAGGCAGCACAAAAGAUUACGCGCCACUCUCCCCCUUGGGGGUUAAUAUGGAAUGUUAUUGGAUGCUUGUCGUGGCAUAUAUGGACGGAGAGAAAUAAGAGAUAUAAGCAGCACACUAGUAGGCCUCCUGAGGUAGUCCUUAAGGAGGUCAUUAAAAGACAUCAGUCUCUCCUUUGAUUCAGUGUAUUACAAAAAGAGUUGUUGUCACUCUUUGGAGACAUCUAUGAUGAAAGUAUUGGAGACCAACCUCCUGAGGCAGCGUAUCUAGUUACUGUAUAACUAGACUACACAGCUAAUGGAAGAGAGUCAAUGAGCUUUUUGCUCAUUUCUUUUUACUUCUAUUUUUUAUUCCUAUUCUCUAUUUUUGUAAACUUGGCAUUAGCCUAAUUCUAAUGAAAUUUAAUUGCUUAAAAAAAAAACAAUAAAAAAAACAAAAACAAAAUGAAAGUACAUAAAAUGACGUUAAUGAAAUAAAAAUAACACUCACCUUCACUUCCUCGUAUAGCUUCUUCUCCCAGGCAAGUAACCGAUCCAGUGUAGAGCAUAGGCUCUUCUUCCCACCGGAAUCCACCAACGCCUUUAUCAUUAAUGGUGGCUUUGAACUCCAUGUGGAUGGCAGAUUGCUCAAAACAAUGUUCGAAUUGGACAAGGCCUCUGCAACAAACAAUAAAAUUAACCACGGUUAAAUUUAACAUGAAUCAACUACGUUAAUUACGAAAUAACAUCCCCAAACAAAGUUCAUAUGUUUUUUCCACUGCCAAAUGCUAAACAACUUACUCCGAUCAAGCCACACUCUGCCGAUCUCGAGCAGAUUGGAGAGCCCAUCGCCAGCUGAUGCAGCCUUUUCGAAUUGCUCCUCAAUUGCCGCCGCGAUCUCCUUCAGAUCUCGGUGCUUCACGACUGUACUUAGAUUUCUAACUAAUGCCGACGAAUCAUCCACCUCUUCCUCCACCUUCCUCUGCAGAUAAGUCUCUGAUUCCAAAAUAGAACGCGUAUUCACAGAACGUUGUUGCCUCUGACGGUGCUCUACUGAUGUUGCGUAAGAGCCGCGGUAGUCGGAAUCCGUCAUUUCCGCGUCUUCUCCUUCCUCAUUGGAGCUCGUAAUUCCUAGUUCCUCCUCCUCAUCUUCUCGUGGGAAGCAAUUGCGAGAGUUAUGGAAACUAAUGCUGUCUCUGUCCUCUAUCUCCACCUUUUUCUGGUCUUCCUUUCCCCUCUCCAUGCAUUCUCUCCUAUUCUGUUCGAGAACGUCGAAGAAAUCAGAACCGGGAGGUGACGGAGGAUAGAAGUUCUCCCAGUUCCACGCCGACGAAGUCUGCGAGGCAGUAGUCGAGUACGUCGAUCUUUUAGAAAACGCAUUCUUUUUCUCGCUCUCUUCAUACUGCUGGUGUGGCGGUAGAUUUUGAAAACGAGAAUGGAGAGUAGCGUCAGUUCUAACAGACACUGAAGGAGAAGCAGAAGAAGGAAGAAGAAGAGGAGGAGGAAGAGUAGAAACAUCUGAUUGACGCUGGUGAAUUAGAACCGGAGGAGUGUGGUCAGAGACAACUAGGGAUUGGAAUUCGGAAAAUCUUGACAACGCCUUUGCAGUGGUCCGGAGUGACCGAAUGUAGUUGGAAUGAGCAACGGCGAGAUGGUGCCGGGAACGUACUGCAUCUUUCAUCAAACCUCGCCGCUCCUUGCAUCGCCGCACAGUGUCUUCGUUUGCCACUUUUGAAGCCGUGCACCCCAUUUCCCCCUAGUCUCUCUCCCUACCUCUCUCUAGAAGGUGGAGGCAGCAGAUACAGAAUCAUUUCCUCUCUCUCUCCCUUUCUUUCUUAUCUCUCUUUUUUUCCGCUUUCAUAGCUCAUUUGACCACUCUCCAAUAGCAUGAACCAGAUACAGAAUCUGAAAACAACGGUUCCCUUCCUCCUGCACUUUCUAAACCACCUAUUAGUAUUUAACUAUUUAUAAACCAGACUUUUAAUUACUGAUAACCUCCUACCAAUUAUUUAUUCACACCAAUACCCUUAUGAGUGAUAUUACUGAUCAGUCCUUUAGGUUUACAUUCUUUACACUAUCAUCAUCUACAUAUUUUACACAAAUCAAAUCUUUAAUUCCUAAUUGCAAUGGCAGCCAUCAGGGCGUGAGAUUUUUAAAACGAAAUAUAUUUCGAUAAAGAUGUGCACAUACAUCGCAUUUGAUAUUACAGAUAUUCUUACCCCAUGUUCAUAAUGUGUGGGGCUACUUGAACUUUUCUGUAUUUCAUACAUAAAUACAUCCUAAACAAAAAGAACUUGGUGGAGAGAACCAAACCAGAUCGAAUACUAUACAAGUGUUUACAUUGCAAAAAUACAAUGAUUUAAUAUAAAAGAAGUAUACAUAUAUAUUGCUCUUAUCUGUAAUGUCCAGUCUGGAGACACACACCUUCAAGUGCUUCCAUGAACAACCCUGAGAAGCCAGUCAUUGCCUGAAAAACCCCAGGUAAACCUGUUUGAAUGUUGUUCAGUGUCAUCUCCCUUGCAACUUUAACUGCUUUUGUAUGACUUGACAUUUCAUCUUCCACCUUCCUCCUGCAUGCAGCAAUUUCCAAUUUCUUCUUAAAUAGUGGGUCUCUUCUGUCAAAUACCUUUUGUCCAUGGAUGUCCGACUCAUCAACAUCAGGAAGUGCGAUUCCCACAGAAGAAUAGGAUUGAUAGAAUUUUCUCUCCAUUGUUCGCAGCACCACCGUUUUUUUCUCAAGUUCUUUGGAGUAACCUUCCACUCGCUUCUUGAUCUUGAAUUCCUCAGCCUGCUUCAUUGAAAUGGAAUGGACAACUGUGAUAAAUCCCUUAAUUGAUUCGGAAGCAACAAUAUCUGGAAGUCUUUCAAGUGCCUGUUUCCAAUUAUCGCAGAAGGUUAACAGUUCGGAUGAAACAAGAGAAGAAUAGUGAUCAUUCGGAGAUACAUCAUUGCUGACUUGAAAGAGAGUGAGUCCAAGCCAGGAGUGGAUGGCAUUGAUGUAGUGACGGUGGAAAUUAAUGAUGCGAGUGAAGCUUGAAUGCCAGCAAGAGACAGCAGAUUCAAGGUCAAGGGUAGCCUGCCGGUGGAGAUCAGAUGUGGACUCUGCAGGGACAGAAUAGUUGACAAGCCCACGGACUUGUUGGACUAUGAGAUUUUGAAUCUCAUGGAAAUGGUUCAUAGAUCUCCACAUGUUCAAA